UGUUUGCUAUACAGGUAUAUGUGUAAAUUCAUCCAUAUUUACAGGUCCCGCUGUGAAGCCCAUCCCUCCCACUGGUGUAGAUGCCCCGGCUAGGGCAGUGCACCCAGACUUACUUACAGCCCGGAGCCAUGGAUUUUUAAGAAUCAUGAAUCGCCCGGCACAAUAUGUGGUUAUCAUCACACUUCUGAUCUCUUGGUCAAUAGCAGGUGUUGUCAUGUUUGACUUUGUCAGUGACGAUCAGAUUGCAAGCAUCCAAGAUUUCGGCUCUGAUCCAGUGCUAGCAGUGAACAAAGCCAUUGAAGUCAUUGAAAACAGGAUAAACCAUAUGAAUGAUAUGUUUAAUGAUGCUCAAGAGCACGUCACUGAAAUAAUAUUUAAUCCGGUGGAAGCUAUUAGUUCAGCUGCUGACUCAUCUGUGUCUUAUCUGUCAGGAAUAUUUAGUGCUGAUGGUAUGUACAUAUGUUCAUUAAUGGCAUUUAAAAAUCAUUUAUAA
rnacentral:lncRNA from 1 species